GAUGAAGAACGUAGCGAAAUGCGAUAAGUAAUGUGAAUUGCAGAAUUCAGUGAAUCAUCGAAUCUUUGAACGCACAUUGCGCCCCUUGGUAUUCCGGGGGGCAUGCCUGUUCGAGCGUCAUUUCAACCCUCAAGCUCUGCUUGGUAUUGGGCACCGUCCUUUGCGGGCGCGCCUCAAAGACCUCGGCGGUGGCGUCUUGCCUCAAGCGUAGUAGAAUACACCUCGCUUCGGAGCGUAAGGCGUCGCCCGCCGGACGAACCUUCUGAACUUUUCUCAAGGUUGACCUCGGAUCAGGUAGGGAUACCCGCUGAACUUAAGCAUAUCAAUAAGCGGAGG
rnacentral:misc_RNA from 1 species